rnacentral:rRNA from 1 species
AUUGAACGCUGGCGGCAUGCCUUACACAUGCAAGUCGAACGGCAGCAUGGAGAGCUUGCUCUCUGAUGGCGAGUGGCGAACGGGUGAGUAAUGCAUCGGAACGUACCGUGUAAUGGGGGAUAACGUAGCGAAAGUUACGCUAAUACCGCAUACGACCUGAGGGUGAAAGCAGGGGAUCGCAAGACCUUGCGUUAUACGAGCGGCCGAUGUCAGAUUAGCUAGUUGGUGAGGUAAAGGCUCACCAAGGCGACGAUCUGUAGCGGGUCUGAGAGGAGGAUCCGCCCCACUGGGGCUGGGACACGGCCCAGACUCCUACGGGAGGCAGCAGUGGGGAAAUUUGGACAAUUGGGGCAACCCUGAUCCAGCCAUGCCGCGUGAGUGAAGAAGGCCUUCGGGUUGUAAAGCUCUUUCGGCCGGGAAGAAAUCGCACAGGCUAAUACUCUGUGUGGAUGACGGUACCGGCAUAAGAAGCACCGGCUAACUACGUGCCAGCCGCCGCGGUAA